AUAUUAACUGAGAGUUCCCUUUUCUCCUUUGUUGGUUUAAUUCUCUUCCAUGCCUACCUCACCCCACCCCUCACACAAAAAACAAAACAAAAAUGUUUUAUAGAACUCAGCAGAAAUGAACCUGUGAUUGAGACAUUAUGGCCAUUACUUGCUUCAUUUCAAGUGGAUUCCUUCCUUCCAUCAUUCCGGACUUCAGCUUACUAUUAACUAAAAUUACAUGAGAGUUCAGUUCUGCCUGGGAAGUGAGCAACUGAAGAGCUGAAGAUAAAGCCCACAAUACCUGAGACUGAUGUUCUCCUGAGUUAUGGGGAUGUUAGAAAUUCAAGAACAGAGCUGCUGGAAUUCACUGUCCAGUGUCCAGUCAUACAAGUCAAGAAGAACUGCAGUCUGCUGCCUUCCAUUUUGAGCCUAACCACUAAUAAAAGAUGCCUGCAGAUCCUGAUAGUGACGAUAACCUCUAAUCCUGCUCUUUCUAGCCGAAGGAAAAUUAUAAGGUGGAAUGAAAAAGAGAUGAAAACUCCCAGCAAAAUGAUGACAUGUCAGUCCUUUUUAAACAUGUUUGGAAGACUCUUUACAAUGGCCCCUGUUGAUUUUUAAACACCCAAAAUGUGCAAAUCAUUGCAUUAUUUUUCAUCAUGCCAGAAAGUGUUUGAAUUUUUAUUUUUGUGGGGCCGGAACAGAUGAAUUCCUAGAAAAGAAGCUGGCACCGUGCCAUCUCUCAGAAGUUGAUGUGGGUGAGGAUCCAUGAGGUGACUAGUAAGGUAUAUUGUGUUACCAUUUACAAAUAACUUUGUCAUCCACCAUCCCACCAUUAUCCUAUAAGUGUAAUCUUCCAGUUCUCCGACUUCCUGGCUGAAUGUGAUGCAGUAUAAGGUGCACAAUAACAGCUCGGGAGUGACACUACAUGAUCCUGCCCUAAGGAUUCUCCCACAGAGGCUACCCUGCCACCUUGUACAGCCUGCCACUUAAUGCCAGAAGAAAUGAGAGACGAGC
ensembl:lncRNA